CAUACCAUUUGCAAUAGUAGACGACCCAAAGUAUUGCAAAUAGGGUAUGUCCAGUCUUUUUUAGUAGCCACUUAGUCACAAACACUGGCCAAAAUUGGCAUUCAACUUAGUUUUUUGCAUUUUUCACACACAAACACAUAUAUACAAACUAACUUUGGCCAGUGUUUGUGACCAAGUGGCUACUAAAAAAGACUAGACAUACUCCAUUUGCAAUACCUUGGGUUGUCUACUUUUGCAAAUGGUAUG